AGAGAACGUAUAUACGUUCUCUGUUAAAACUCACUACAUUGCAAGAAAAAUAGAACACUAUUGCUACAUUGUUUAUUCCGGCAAGCAGGUGUGAAUAAAACUAGUUUAAAAUCGCCAAUCAAGUAGGAAUAUCAUAAAAAAAUGGCUACGAAAGUUUCAUCAAGCAAUAAUAAAGUCUUCCAAGCGGACGAUGUUCACAUCUCGUUUGAAGACCAACAGAAAAUCAAUCGUUUUGCUAAGCAUAAUGCUCGAAUGGAUGAUCUCAAAAUGGAAUUGGACAUGAAAAAGAACGAUUUAAAGAGUGUCGAGGAGGCGCUGGAUGAAAUCGAGCUUUUCGACGAAGACGAAGAAAUACCAUUCUUGUUUGGUGAAGUUUUUCUUACACACAAAUUAACAAAAACACAGGAAUUAUUGGCUGAGGUUAAAGAACAAACAUUAAAAGAAAUUGCGGCAAUUGAAGUGAAAGCAAAUGAGAUCAAAGCCGAAAUGAAUGAACUAAAAUCACAUCUAUAUCAACGUUUUGGCAGCAAUAUAUCGUUGGAGAGCGAGGAUUAGCUUGUGUAAAAUUGUAACAGUCAAUAAUUAUUAAGGCAUUGAUAUUGAUUCACAUAAUGUCGAACUUAUUAUUCGCCAUAAAAUAAUACAAUAUCAAAAUUAAAUUAAAUAUUUACAACAUAAACCUAUUCAGUCUGACUGCCAAAAAUGAACAUGAGAUUGUCGCUAGCAUUUUCCAGGCAAGCGGCCUAAAAAUAUACAUGUUUAAUAUAUUAUAUAAACAUAUGAUAUAAAAAAUGGGGAUACCUCCAAGAAAUAUGUGUCAAAAGGUGCCUUGUAAUGUUUCCAAUUUGUUAAUGCAUUUAUGUUGCGAUUGCUUCUUUGUGUUUCCAAUGUCAAGUUCUGUAAAAAAAAUUCCUUUUUUUGACAAAACUAAAAUUUCACGAUUGUAUACACUACUACCUCUCCAUCACCAUUGCAAUUGCAAUUUAAAUUUUCGUGAGUUUGACAUAUCGAAUAAUCUUCUUGCAAACAGAACAAAUUCGACAGAUCCUCAGCUGAAAACUUCAUGAUAUCUUCAUUAUUCUUUGCAAUAUUUUGUAUUACACAAUCACCCAGGGAUAACUUCGCUGUCUGCCUUUGAAAUAUUUUCUCUUCAAUACAACCAGCUGUUACCAGUCGAUAGAUGUGUACAUCCCUGGUCUGACCAUCACGCCAUAUACGUGAUAUUGCUUGUGCAUCAAUAGCGGGAUUCCAGUCAUUAUCGAAAAGUAUUAACCUUGAUGCGCCUAUCAAAUUGAGACCAACGCCACCAGCUUUUGCGCUAAGUAAAAACACUAGAGAGUCAUCUGAAUCGCUGUUGAACUUUUCGACAUUAUCAUUCCUUUCUCCUACACUGGUGGAACCAUCAAACCGUAAGCAUUUUAUAUUCAGAAAAUCACAUAAACCUUGUAGCAUGUUUAGCGUUUUGGUAUGAUUUGAAACUAGCACACACUUUUCUCCAUUUUGUAUUGCUGAGGCAAUAAGGAAAUGUUGCACCAGGUCUAAUUUCGACGAAUCGAAGGGUCCCAUUUCCGUACAAUCUGGCAAACAGCGCUCUAAAGUGCGAGUCAGUAGAUUCGGUGUUUUUGUACGUGCGACCAAGGAAGGAUGGUUGCAAAUCUUUUUCAAAACGGUAAUUAUUUGCAAUGGGGUUAAAUCUUUCAAAAUUGUUUCCUUACGUUGUGUAUAUAGAUGAAGAGCUUUUUGCAACAAGAAUUGUUGAAGUUCCGAUGGUUGAACGAAGCAAAUAUACUCAUACUUUCUCGGCAAGUAUUGCCCAUUCACGUUUUGUAAUCGUCGAAGCAUAAACGUCUCAGAGAUCUGUAUAAGCUCCCUGGUGCGUUCAGCAGCUAAAUUCCUUACAUCCGUAGAAGCUUCAGGGCUUUGGCUCUGUUGCAAAGGAAUCUCGAAAUGCAAAUGAAAUUCUUCAUAAUUGCCAAAUAUGCCUGGAUUAACAAAUUCUACUAGUGAGUAGAAUUCGCGCAAAUCGUUUUGCACGGGUGUUCCAGUUAUUAUUACUCGACGUGGAAUAUUCAGCUCACGAAGGGCAGCUACUACUUUAGUUGAUUCAUUUUUCAAUCGAUGACCUUCAUCGCAAACUAGCAUGUCGAAUUUUAAGGACUGGAAUUCAGCAACAUUUGCAAGCAGAAAUUCAUAAGAAGCAAUUACAAAUGGAACAUGUUGUUGCUUAGAAUAAGAACACAACUUUUGCUUUCCUCCUACUACAUAAGCAUACAUACGUUCACAUUUCAACCAUUUAUUCACUUCGUUUUCCCAAUUACGUGUCAGACUACUGGGAGUGGCAAUAAGAACUCGAUGUAAUUCUCUUUCACCGCCAUAAGGUCCUCCUUUUAAUAAUGUGUGCGCAAGUGUUAGGCAUUGCAGAGUUUUUCCCAACCCCAUUUCAUCGGCAAGAAUGCAUCCACGAUAUUUUGGAUUGUAAAAACCCAUAACGCAUUUAUAAAGAAAUGAUACGCCAUCUUUUUGAUGUGGGCGUAAAAGUUGGGCUAGUCUGUAUGAGACUUCCACCGGAUGAAUGGGUAGAUUUGCAGGAUUUAAAUCACCAAUAUAAUUUUCAGGAGGAGAAGGUAAAAUGAAGCCGUUGGUUUUUGUGAUCCGCCUGUUUUCACGUUUUGUGAAUAUAUUUGUUUUGUCUUCGUUUAAUUUUUGGGGAUGAUUGUUGGUCGCCACUUCUAAUAUCUCAAUUUCCUUAUCUUCUAUCAACAAUAUGGAUCCUGGCACCAAAUCAGACAAGUUAACGUUUUCCUCUAUACCCAACUCCUGCCCUUUUUCAUCUUUUAGUACACCUCUCUUGACAUGAGAAUCAACAUCAAAUACUCCAUCUCCAUUCCAGAUCUUAUUUUUCUUAGUGGUUUUUUCGCGCCAAACGACAUUAAAUGAUAACUUCCUAGUCACAGCUAACUUAUUAUCUUGAACGUUAUUAGUUUGAUUGAUUUUAUCAUUUAAUAUAUCAUUCUUCAGAUUGCAUGGGGUUUGGAAUAGUGUAGAUAUCUUCAACAUUUUGCUCGCUUCCUUACUUUGCACUUUCUCCUCAGAAUUCCAACGAUCCUCAGCAUAUUGUUUUUUUAUAGCAAAGUAUUGGUCACCAUCGGUUAUUUGUUCCAGCAAUUCAAUCUCUUUGCCUCCUACAAUCAUUUGAUAUCCUUCUUCCAAAUUAUCAUUUUCAAACUUUGUAUUAGUACCCAUAUACCUCCCGGUGCUAUCCUUAAGAACAGCCCGGGGGGGGUUCAGUUGAACUUCUAGUAAACCAUCUCCGUCCCAUGUUUUAUGCUUCUUUUUCGUUAUUUCGCGCCAGACCACAUUGAAAAUAAUUUUGGAAUUAUUCUCUUUGGUUGUUCGCUCUUCGAAUUGAGUGCUUCUAUUCCUCGAUGUGCCCCAACUUUCUUCAUUCAGAGAGGUCGAACUUAUUUCAUCAUCUCCGUGCUCAUCUUUUUCAAAUAGUUUAUCAAUUUUUCUACGUUUUUCGAUUUCCCGCACUUUUAGCAUUGAAGGUGCACAAGACCUCCUCAUUUUAAAAUUUAACAAGAAAGGAAAUUGAACUUAAACAAUGUAAUAUUUUGAACCAAAAAAUAAAAGUUAUGCAUCCACCUGGAGAAGAAUAGUUUUCAAAAAGUGCAUACGAAAGUAUAUAAACAAAAACACCAUAGACCCAAAUGGUAAAAAGAUCCCUUGCCAGACUUUAGCAUUGAUCAGUCGAACUCUAAAAUCUAAAAAUGAUAUAAGAAUGAGAAUAAAAAUUCUACUUGGUAUUAAUUAUAUAUACUCAGAAAAAGGUUAAUUUUAUAACAUAUGGUUACAUAUUUUACGAACAAAAACAAAUUCAAAUACAUUUAAUACUAUUGGUCUUAUGGGUUGAAUUAUGUCGAAUAGGAACUCAGUGUUAUAAUUAACAGUUGUAAAGGGAAUUUGGCAACCCUACACGUGUUUUUAUCUGUAUUUCUUAUGCCUUUUUACCCACUUAUUUACUAUUCUAUUGCCCUCAGUGAAGCCAAGUUAAACACCUAGCCGAGAGGUUGCGUUGGAUUUUUUAAAUUUUCACUAAAAUUAAAGCUAAUCUACAUUAAAAUGACCGAAGAAGUCAGU